rnacentral:lncRNA from 1 species
UUAAAAUGAGUUAUAAGGGAUAGGCAUUACCCACACAAGAUCCAUGUGGGCGGUAUUUCACGUGCAAGGCACUGCCACACGUACCAACAGACAGCACCAAGAUAAUUAUGGCGUUGCCGUCCAACCAUUGGAGCAACAUGCAACAUGGAAAAAUAGCAAUCCCACUGUUACAAAUUAAGAGUGGCCAAUCAAACACGCAAUCCCUUUUGUGGAUCGCCAUUCCCUUGUACCUUCUUCCUACCACUAAAAAAAACAAGUAAACAAUUAAUGUGUGAUGGCCAAAAAUUAAUACCAGAC